ACCAAAUGCAAACACGUUAGCCACAAACUGAUUGAAUACGCAUAAUUACAAGCUGAAAGUUCCAUUUUAUGUACUUAUCCAACAGAUUUGGUUUCAUGGAACCUUCCCACACAUUCACGUCAUUGUACUUGUUGAAGAAUCAGAGUAGUCUUCAGUACCUAUUCAACUUCUGAAUUCGAUAAAUAAUACUCAAAACAGGAUUAAGAUCAUGACACUGAUUUCUAAGAUUUUACUUCCCGUUUACAUCGUUUUUCUCUGAGAGAAACCAACAUCAUUUUGGCUGCUGUCGUCGCUAAGGGAAAUCAGGGCUAGUACUAAACAGCGAUAAAGUGUAGAUGAAUCACUAUUUCGCCCUGUUUAGUAGUACUAGCCCUCGGGGAUCAAAUGUUCCUAAGCGAAUUGGUUAUUUCACAUAUGCAUUAGGGAUUUCGUAAAAUCCCUGUUUUAAAAUAUUCCCUGUAACACCUACAUUUUAAUGAGACACCUUAGUCAAAAUCUUCACUGGGAAUAGUCAUUCGUCAAGAAAAUGGAAGCCAUUUUCCCACUUGGAUUUAACUGGCACGUAAACCCCUUCCAUUUUGCAAUACAUUACUUACCGACGAGUGUCCACUUUAAUAUCUAAACUAAAAGACCAAUUUUCAUCCAUCCUCUUGAUGCAUUUAAUUCUCGGCUCAUUAUGAACCCUCCCUCUCGUAGCCUACAACUACUUGCUGUAACAUUAGCACUUCAGCCAAUUACUCAAGUCCUUUAAACGAUCUAUUUCAACUAUGCAUCUAUCGACUUGCUUUUAUAUCCUCCUAUUCUCUUAACGCUAAUUGAAACUUAUUUUAAGACCGUUUAUUUCCAAUAAUCAGCGUGAGAAUCAUUUUUCAAAAAACACUCGAUUAGCAGAAUAGUUGCAGUAUAGAUAUUUAGCAGCUGAAAUCGUUUCACUGAUGGUCUGCUUAAUAACUCCAAUAUAUUUCACAUUUAGACAAUUCAGAGAUGACUCAGAAAGGGAACCGGAAAUCUUGAGAGACUAUCCUUUUACGGCGGUCGUGUGAGAAGUGAGAACCACGAGGUUUCUGACGUGAAUCAUUCAUGACAUCUCAAGAAUUUCCCUCCCACACUCAUCACCAGUUCAAGCAAGACCUGUGUUGACUCGUUGCCAGAUGGAAGAAGAGAUAAUAUAGUUAUGCGGUAAGUUCCUGAACAGCAAAAGAAAUCCAAACUUCGGUCAUUAUUUAGAUGUUAUUCCUGAAGAGUAUUUUUUUGGUGGUGUGGAUAGGUAUCAUGAUCGAACAAUGUCGAUAGCUUUUCUUUGGACCUUGGCCGGUUAUUGCGCGUUUGGCUGAAAAAAGAAAGAAAAAAAAAAAUUAGUCAUUCAGUCGUGGGCACAAGGCUGAUUGAGCCGAGGUUAGACACCCAGGGGUUCUUCUUUCAACGGAAGUGGACGAUUACUAGGAAUUCGAAAAAUGAGGACCUGCCUCCCAACCUAAGCUGUGAUGGCGCGUAAGUUUCUCCUUUCCUGUCACGGAAUGCAAAGCUACCUUUUCGAAGAAGGCGUCUGUCUGAUCGUUCCUGUUGGUGGAAAGGAAAUAUUCCUGAGAAUAGUCAUUGUUUUUGAAAUUUUUUAAAUGAUAGUUUUACCUCGUCAGAUCUUAAAUGUACUCUGUAAGGUACUACAAACCAUGUUAACGCUCUUUCUGGGAGUGAAAUUGUACUUGCAAUUUCUCAUAAGAGCAAUCUGGGUUUUACAGGUAAAAACAAAUUAGCAUCAAUUAUAUAUUGACGCAGUUUACACCAUACAAACAAAUGAACUAAUCUGGCCUACUCUGGCGUUUUCAAAUUAUCCCUAAAAAUAAGCGUGGAAUGUUUGACACGUUCUUUAGGUUUUAGUCAGUUUAAAAAGAAGUGCAGUGCUCUUCGGCAUAACAUUGAAAUUACAGAAACCGGCUUGCAUAGACAAAUAAAUAGGAAAAAUUAGUAGACGAGGAGAAAGUUCUGUGGUCCAGUUCUUCUUCUUACUACGAAAAAAAUAAUGCCACUGCGAACUUUCCAGCAAACUUGUCCAAUUCUAUGUGUACUGUAAAGCAAAAACUGAAUACUGUGAAGUGCUUUUGCCAGCAUCCCAAGUCUCUGUAGGGUUAACAGUACAGAUAAGGAAUCCAUUAACUCCCACUUACGCUAUGCGUUAUAGAUAAAAGGUUGACUUGUCGUAUACCGGAUAUUCAUAUAAAGAAAAUUAACGCAGAGAGAGAGAGAGAGAGAGAGAGAGAGAGAGAGAGAGAGAGAGAGAUUCAUUUACAACAAACUGAGUAUCUAACCAUGCUUGAUAGAAGUCUAAUUAAUUCCAGCCUCCUCCUAGCAGCAAUCUGCAGUAGGCCUAUAUCAAUUCGUUUCCCUCCUACUGAAACGGCAAGACCUGUAGUACUACAGGUCCGCGAGACGAAGCCAAGUUCUCAAAUGCCUUCCUUGACAUCACACCUCCCCCUCCCCCAAGCCUCCGCCCUCCGUCUCAUUGUUGUCGUUUCAGAGAAACCGCUGGAAACGGCGGAAAUGAUUCCCGUUGCACGAGCUGCGUGCAUGAUCUGUUCCCGGUUUCCCUAAGUGUAUUUCUUGUUCACGUACAACCGUGUAACAAAGACACCGUUUGGAGUUCCGGGUAUUGAGCAAAGCAGGUAUCCUAAUCAACUUUUAAUUUAGGAAUUUCUCUUCCUAAACAUUAAGGAAACGAUGACCACAAGUUCAUGGAAAUGCACCGUGGGCCUCUUUCCGUGUAACAGAAGCGGACGACAUUUCCGUUCUAGACCUGGAAGUACUUAAUUGAAGAAUACAGUUACGUAUAGUUAGUCUACAAAGAUGCACUGAGUUUCUCCUCAUAAUUUAAACAUUUAUCAUAACCGUAGGGUUUUAAAGCGAGGGUCAUUAAAUUUAUAACCUUUAAUGGUAGUUCCUCAGCGUACAAUUAUCGUACACUGGUUAGUGUAGGUCGUAUAUCCGCUCGCUGACGGGUAAGAUAAAUCCUACCUGGAACCUUCUUAGGAUCUUACGACGUCAUGAGUGACGUCACAGAGUUCUCGCGAUCGCCCUCUCGCUCUCUUACUCAUUACUCAGCUCUCAAGUGGAGUUUCCCAGUAUUUGAGAGGAUGACACGACGCGGAGGAACGGCUGGUAUAUAUAAGGGCAGUUGAGCGGUCGUAGAGUCAGACAUCAAGAGGACUUUGCUUCAGGGGGAUACACACGCAAGCACACACAUUUACACACACACACACACACACACACACACACACACACACACACACAAGUCCUCUCCAAGGAUUAUCCGAAUUCGUGCUUUCAUCAGUUUUUAAGAUAGAUGUCUCCUUACCCAGUUCUUCGAAGACUGAUGACGAGUACUUAGUCGAACUUUUUUAGGAAAUUGCUUUCCAGUUGGAUCUCAACUUGGCGUAGUGGUACUAGACUCAGCAGUUUCUGGGCUUCGAUAGUCGCUAUAGAGGCUCAUUCAGCAUCGCCUUUUUUUCGGGUUUGGUGUCGUCGAACUCCUGAAGAUCAAGCUCACUGCCAAGGGUUGCAGGCGCCGCUCCUAAGGACGUUCCUCUCGCCAGUCUUCGUCAGUGCACUCACGGCCUCCCUCGGAGUCUCUUAUCUGCGCUAAAGACGCCUGGCUCUAAGAGACACGUCGCGAGUUUGUGGGAGCAUGAGGCCAGUAUUUUCUUCCAACUUUUACAACUAGGGCCAGUGAUGCGUUGCUACGACUGACGAUAGGAACACCAUGCUUGCAAACCUCUUCGUUAGUAGUACUAAGAUUAUACGUUUAUUUUAAGUAGCGGUCAGGUAUUUUAUACUAAGGCGUUGAAUACUCAGGGCAUUUAUGAAUGGAUUCUUAUGGCUUCAUUCUUUAGAAUAAGUAAGCACAUGUUAUUGUCUAUAUAACUAUAUACCUCAUGCGUGUUGAAAUGGUGUCGUGCAGCGAUAAUGACAUUGGAUUCUCAGGGCAUUGUAGAAUUUGUUACAUUAAUUUUAAGAUGUAUUGUAUAUAAACGCGGUCACAAACACAUACACACACACACAUGUGUAUGUGUAUGUGAGUGCAUGCGUUUUGUUGUACGUAAACUGUUGCAUUUCUCGGUGUCAAUAGUUACAGACCCGUGACUACCAGCUUUCGGUUUCUGAUAGCACUGCCAUAUCACUUAGUACUAAGGACAGUUCUCAAUAGGGUUGUUUCUGUUCUUCUCAGUAUUCGAACCCUUUCCUAAGGGAGUUGUAACUUGUAUUCCCACCAUAAUGUUGUUGUAAGGAAACUUUAUUCUUGUCUCAAUAAAACAUGUUGGCGAGGGCUUUGUGUGAUUCAUUCCUAUCACUAAUUCUACCAGAGAUAGGCUACAUGAAAUACCUCAGGCCCGUGCCCAGUUUUUUAUGGGGAGGGGUGUCGUUUUUCUCAAAACUGGACCUUUUCUUCUGUAAAUGUCAUUGCAUAUACAGGUCUAUACAAGACGAAAUACUUGAAAAUGUUAUGUUAUUUGUAUUAAGAAGAAAAAUUGGAUAUGCGGUCUAUGCCCUUCUACCCGAUUAGAUGUUAUUCAAAGUAGUGACUUUGGUUAACAGAAUUUCACUUAUAAUGUUGAAAGUUUGCAACGAAAUUCAAGAAUAUUUCUUCAGUUUUAUUGAUUGAUUCUUUUAUUAUGUUAACAAUAGCAUGCAUAUUACUUUAAUUGUUGUUACAUUAUAAAGUUGGACUUAAUAAAAAACGUCUGAUUUAUGUAGUAUUGGACGUGGUGGCGGAAAGUAGAUACAAUCUAUAUAUAAUUUCAUGUAUUAUCGUGACGAAUAUCUAUAAAUGUCGUCUGAGCCUUA